GACGAACGCUGGCGGCGUGCUUAACACAUGCAAGUCGAACGGUGAAGCGCUUGCCUUUUUGGUGGGUGUGGAUGAGUGGCGAACGGGUGAGUAACACGUGAGUAACCUGCCCUCUUCUUCUGGAUAACCUCAUGAAAGUGGGGCUAAUACGGGGUAUUCCGGGUCUGUCGCAUGGCGGGUUUGGGAAAGAUUGCGCCUUUGGGUGUUUUCGGUGGGGGAUGGGCUCGCGGCCUAUCAGCUUGUUGGUGGGGUGAUGGCCUACCAAGGCGGUGACGGGUAGCCGGCCUGAGAGGGUGGACGGCCACACUGGGACUGAGACACGGCCCAGACUCCGGCGGGAGGCAGCAGUGGGGAAUAUUGCACAAUGGGCGCAAGCCUGAUGCAGCGACGCCGCGUGAGGGAUGGAGGCCUUCGGGUGGUGAACCUCUUUCGCCAGUGAAGCAGGCCUGCUCCUGUGUGGGUGGGUUGACGGUAGCUGGAGAAGAAGCGCCGGCUAACUACGUG
rnacentral:rRNA from 1 species